rfam:Schistosoma rodhaini strain Burundi genome assembly, scaffold: SROB_scaffold0010325
GUCCAGCUGACGAGUCCCAAAUAGGACGAAACUUGCCUCCUGGAU